UCGAUUCAACGAAAAAACGAAACGCAUGUCUGCAACCACUCCUCCGCUUUUCUCUAGCCAUUAACUCAACACAAUGAACAUUUCGUUUCCUUUUUGCUAGGGUUACAGUAAGAAAUUUAUUCCUACCUACACUCCAGUUCCUCCAAUCUCCAUAUGCCAAAAUUAGGGUUCUUGAUUGAUCUUCCGUAACGAAAGUAAAAAAUUCUCAUUCAAUGGUAUUAACAUCUACGUUAUUUCUCAUUCAUCAUAUGGGUUUGCAACUGUUUACCAGAUAUGAUAGAAUGGACAAACUAUUAAACAAGGUCGAUCUCUCUUUCUCUUUAAUACCCUGUUUUUGUGUUUAAUGGUCAAAUUAGGAAGUGGGUUUUGAUGAUGGGUUUGUUUCUGAUUGUGGGUUUAUUUGAUUUUUGAUUUGGUAUUAUUUUAUUCCCACGAAUUUCACACAUUGUAUAAGAGAAAUUAAGGUGACAUUUUUGCUCAAAAUAAUUGGUAAUUCCCCUUGCUUCCUGGUGCUAGAGUAACCGGUGGAGCUCCAAACGAGCUCUCUAAUUUGUUUUCCUUAAGCAACAGUGUGUAUUUUUGUUUGUUGGUUGUUCAAGAACGUGGAGAAGUCAAACAUAGAAAUGGGUAAAGAAGAUUUCCCACUCUUGCGAAGAAUUUAAAUUCUCCAUAUUCCUCUCUGAGUUAUUAGGAUUUUUGUGAAGGUUUAUUGAGUGUGAUUUUAUGAACCGUUUCUGUUUUGGUUCCGUUAUAGAUUUUAGUAGCAGCUAUUGUUUCGUAUCUAAUUGGGGAAUUGUCGAAAACUUUUGCUUCGGUUCUAAUUUGCAAUGAUGAGAAGUUCAAUUUCAAGGAUUUUUGUGGUCCAGUGGAGUUCCUUCUACACAUUCCUUUGUCAGGGAAUGGUACUCUGAAAGAGAAACUGGGGAAAGCCUUAAUCUAUGAAGUUUUGCUCCUACUGAGGUUUGAUCUUUUUCCAUAUUAACGGAGAUCAACAUUUUGAGCACAUAUUAGAGGACGGUUCAUACAUUUUGAGCACAGUUUUAUGGUUAGCCUCAUAGUAGUAGAUAUGGUGUUUGUAAAUUGAAAUAAUAUCUCCCACAACAACAAAAAAAAAACUUUUGCAUACUAUAUUAGUUUUAGGAAGACUUUUAGACUAUUGGACUCCAGAAUCCAUGUUCAUCCAUUUCUUUCAUUUGCUCAAUGCAAGUUGUUCAGUUUGCACAACCAAGAUUAUUUAGUGUUGUUAAAUACCUAAAUAGUUAAAGAGUAACUUGAUCUCUCAAUAAACAACUCUAGAUAGUUAAAGAGUCAUCGACACAUGCACAUAGGGCUUUUCUAAUAUCAAAUUUUCAGGCAUCCUCCCCAAAUUUUUGUUACCAAGCAUCAUCUCCUGAUCACUAUCCUUAGUAAGAUUAGACAGACUAUCCAAAUACUUUAUAUAAUCCACAUUUUGUUUGGUUCAUUCUUGGUAGAAUUUUAUUUUGUUUUCUACUCUCAUAAUGGUUGUUGUCAUUCAAGUUGUUAACAGAAGUUUGCUUUCAUCAUCACGAAGCAUGAAUUUAUCUGAACUAAAUGAUAGAUAGCGGGGUUUUAAGGAUAAGUUUGAAUGACCAUUCAUAAGCAUUAGCAAAAGAGAAUGGAAAAGAAAACCAAAUCUAUGAUACUGUAUAUCCAUGUGUGUGCCAAUUUCUAGCCUUUUUGUUACAUGGAUAUUGGAGCCUGGGUUCUUUAAAGAUAGUUAGUUUCGUAUCUUUUCAAUUGUAGCUAACCAGUUAGUGAACGACUUUAAGAGAAAAAAAUGCAUUUGAAGUUAUUUAUUGUAGUUAAACAAUUAGUGUAUGUCAUUUUAAAUUUCGUCAACAGCUCAAUCACUUCAUUGUAUCCGUUGAGACCUGCAGUUUAGAUCUAAAAUGACUUAAGUGGUUUGCUACAAGUUUUAACCCCCAAUUUUACAAUCAGAAUUUUUAUUUGAUCAUUUUAUCAUUUCAUGUUUAUAGAAUUGUGAAUGAAUUAAUAUACUUCUUACUAUGCGAACAUGUUUUUUUUUUUUUUUUUAAAUAUGAGAUUCGGUUUAUGAUGAAUUAAUGAAACUGUAUCUAUAGUUUUGACGAAUCAGGUGGUAUACCAUUUAAAUCGAAAUUUGAUGCAAGAAACUGUACUUGGAAGGUAUUUGGAUGAAUAAAGGGUACUUCGUUAUCUUCUUUGGUGUUUUCCUCAACAAUUACGUCAUUGUAGUGAAAGCAUCUAAGGGAGGCAGGUUAGAGUUUCUUCUUUACUUCAAGGACUGUCAUCAAACUUGCAGUGAGCUGGAGCACCAUAUCCUCCCCAUGCACAUGCACAUGCACAUGCCUAUGCCUUGAUAACUUGGCUCGGUUGCAUGUAAUGAAGAACCACCGGUUCCAAGUGGACAUAUGCCUUUCAGAAUUUUAGACGAAAGAUGUCGAGAGAGGCAAAGAGGGAAAGUACAGGAUGAGCUUGAGUUUUCACAAAUCUUUGUAAUCUAUGCUCUUUUGACAUAGUAGUUGGUUAAAAUGACAGAGAUGCGAUAGAAAUUUUAGGUGAAGUAGUUCAAAUUUGGUAAAAAGUAAACAUUUGUUAACAAAAACUACACAGAGCUAGAGAUGAUUAAUAUAUACUUGCAUAGACAUAUGUAGAUACAAUAAAUGAAAUUAACAAAAAUCAGUUCUUUUGUGCAA